AAAAACAAGAGUUUGAUCCUGGCUCAGAACGAACGCUAGCUAUAUGCUUAACACAUGCAAGUCGAACGUGGCUUGCUUCCCCAUCCAUCCACGUGGGGGCAGAAGGGCAAGAGGAAUGGCCCCCUCCUAGCACGUGCUCACUCACUCAAAUGAUAUGCAAGUGGUGCGCCGGGCGUGGGGCAUAGCAAGCAAAGUGGCGAACGGGUGCGUAACGCGUGAGAAUCUGCCGAACAGUUCACUCCAAAUCCUGAAUAAUUCAUAAAGCAAGCUAAUUCACGCUAUUCGAUGAGCCCGCGUAGUAUCAGGUAGUUGGUUAGGUAAAGGCUGACCAAGCCAAUGAUGCUUAGUUGGUCUUUUCGGAUGAUCAACCACAUUGGGACUGAGACACGGCCCAGACUCCCUCGGGGGGCAACAAUGGGGAAUAUUGGACAAUGGGCUCAUGCUCGAUCCAACAAUAUCGCGUGGGUGAACAAGGGCACUGUCGCUUGUCAAGCUCUUUCGUCGAUUUUCGAUCAUGAAAGGACUCGAGGAAGAAGCCCCGGCUAACUCCGUGCCAGCAGCUGCGGUAAGACGGUUGGGGCAAGUGUUAUUCAGAAUGACUGGGCGUAAAGGGCAUGUAGGCGGUGAAAAGGGUGGAAAGUGAAAGUCGCCAAAGCACUGGCGGGGUGCUUUCUUUACCAUUUCACUUAAGUGAGAUAGGGGAGAGUGGAAUUUCAUGUGGAGGGAUAAAAUCCGAAGAUAUACGAAGGAACGCCAACUGCGAAGGCAACUCUCUGGGUCCCCACUGACGCUGGGGUGCGAAAGCAUGGGGAGCAAACAAGAUCAGAUACCCUGGUAGUCCAUGCCAUAAGCGAUGAGUGUUCGUCCUUGGUCUGCCUGCCUACUAGGUAGGAUUAGGAUAAAGGGCCUAGCUAACGCGUGAAACACUCCGCCUGGGGAGUACGGUCGCAAGAAUGAAACUCAAAGGAAUUGACGAGGGCUUGCACAAGCGGUGGAGCAUGUGGUUUAAUUUGAUACAACGCGCAGAACCUUACCAGCCCUUGACAUAUGAACAAGUGUGCCUGUCCCUAACGGGAUGGUGCAAAAAUUCAUACAGGUGCUGCAUGGAUGUCGUCAUCUCGUGUCGUGAGAUGUUUGGUUAAGUCCUAUAAUGAGCGAAACCCUCGUUUUGUGUUGCUGAGACAUGGGCCAAUGGAUCAAUGUCAUCACCCCUUCUCAAUGAAUCAAUAGGGUGAGGGUGAGGGCAACGUGAAUUUCCGCUCGACCGAUAGGGAGAGGAAACCGAACCGCUCGAUCGACAGAGGAGGGCGAGGCAAGCGCCUCUUUUUGAUUGAUGACACUCCUAUGAAGGCAGGUGCAUGAUGCACUCACAAGAGACUGCCAGUGAUAUGCUGGAGGAAGGUGGGGAUGACGUCAAGUCCGCAUGGCCCUUAUGGGAUGGGCCACACACGUGCCACAAUGGCAAUGACAAUGGGAAGCAAGGCCGUAAGGCGGAGCGAAUCCAGAAAGAUUGCCUCAGUUCAGAUUGUUCUCUGCAACUCGAGAACAUGAAGUUGGAAUCGCUAGUAAUCGUGGAUUAGCAUGCCGUGGUGAAUAUGUACUCGAGCCCUGUACACACCGCCCGUCACACCCUGGGAGUUGAUUUUACCCGAAGCAUCAAACCAAUGAUCACCCUAUCUAUAUAUGUUCCACUAGUGUGGCCCACGGAGGUUGGGGUGGUCUUAUUGGCGCAUACCACAGUGGGGUCUUCUACUAGGGUGAAGUCGUAACAAGGUAUCCGUAGGGGAACUUGCGGCUAGAUCGAAUCCCUU
rfam:Picea glauca, whole genome shotgun sequence.